rnacentral:rRNA from 1 species
ACUCAAAUGAAUUGACGGGGGCCCGCACAAGCGGUGGAUCAUGUGGUUUAAUUCGAAGCAACGCGAAGAACCUUACCUGGGUUUGACAUCUCCGGACAGCCGUAGAGAUACGGUCUCUUACGCAAGUAAGCCGGAAGACAGGUGCUGCAUGGCUGUCGUCAGCUCGUGUGGUGACAUGUUGGGUUAAGUCCCGCAACGAGCGCAACCCUUGUCCUUAGUUGCCAGCAUUCAGUUGGGCUCUCUAAGGAGACUGCCGUGGUGAACACGGAGGAAGGUGGGGAUGACGUCAAGUCCUCAUGGCCUUUAUAUCCAGGGCGACACACGUGAUACAAUGGACGGUACAAAGGGAAGCGAAGGAGCGAUCUGGAGCCAAUCUCAAAAAGCCGUUCUCAGUUCGGAUUGGAGUCUGCAACUCGACUCCAUGAAGUUGGAAUCGCUAGUAAUCGCGGAUCAGCACGCCGCGGUGAAUACGUUCCCGGGCCUUGUACACACCGCCCGU